CCCCAACAAUGCCCAGGACAAGGUAGUCCCAGGAGGCUGGCUCACCUCCAGAUCCUCCAAGUACCAAAUUUGAACUCUCCUUUGAGAAGGGUCUUAUGGCACAUUUGCAAAAUGUGUCAGUAUGGCUGACAGAAAGGCUGUAGCCAUUAUGAAAAACGAGAACCCAAAGACCCAUUGGAAAACCAAGAGCUCACUGCCAUGUGAAAACAUAACGCCUGUAACUCCAACAAACCAAAUAUAUUCCUGAGUUUGAAUAUCUUUAAAAAGUCUUUUUGACUUCAUGAAAGGAAUAAAUUUCAAACUGCUCAAUUAAAAGGCAAUUCGUCCCAUCGUCGUGCAGACUGGAAUAGUGCUUAAUCACCUCAAGUCUCUUGGAACAAUACACGCAGACCUGAAAUUAUAAAAUGUAAUGUUGGUGAAAUAUCACCAAGAGCCGUACUGAAUAAAAUUAUUGACUUUGACCUCGCCUAUGACACCUCAGCUGCCAAAGUGGGGCUCUUACAUUCAGACCUGUCCGUACUGGUCUCCGGAGAUUAUUCUGGGGCUUCCAUCUACAAAAGCCAUAGAUGUAUGGUCCCUGGGCUGUUUCCUUUAACGGAAUAAGUUACAUGCAAUCAAAAUGUCGUUUAAUAGAGUUUAUGUUGUUAACCUUGACCUUGACCUUUAUGUGUAGUUGUAAGUUAGUGAGGUGAUAUAAUGAAUUGAGUGAUGUAAAUUUGAUGUAUAUGCUAUAUGUGAGCAGGAGAAAUUUGUUUCCUUUGAUCUUAUGGUAUUAAUAUUGCUGGUUUUGUUUGCUCCUAGCUCUUACGGUGUCUUCACUGAAUGUUUCAAUAAAAACAUUUCCAAUAAAACCUCUGUGAAGCAUCAGUAUAAGAGACCAUCAUUCAGCCAGGGAUGCUACAAUGCUGAGAUACAUGAUGGAGACUCAAGGACAACCCCCAAAGAAAAUUUCAGACUGUCUUUUCAGACAUCUGAACUGUAUUUCCAAGAGUCUGGUAUUCAGUUCGUGGAGAAAAGAUGAAUAAAUCUCUGGAUGACCUCUUACAUUGUUAAGUCCUGCUAUGAGCACAUUAACAGCUUUAAAAUAAAGAAGACAGGGAUGUCAGACAGCGGGACAGAAGGGUGUGGGUCUCUGCACCAGCCCACCUCUGACACCAGACAACCUGCCCAACAGAACUCCCACCCUUGGCCUCCACCCUUCUUCUCAGAGGAGCAGCCUGAACUUCAUCAGGCCCAGUCACUGUAAAACUGCUCACACAUUUCCAAUAUUUCCAAUCAAAUCACACUUGAAAAGAAAACAUCUGGAAGAAGAUAAAAAGGAUACGAGUGACCCAGAUCUUAAAAAAAAAAACAUACCAACGUGAAAGGUCAGAUCAUGACCAGAAGAAAUACCAUCAUUCUACGGGUUCAUCUUGCUCAACCAGUGGCUACAGGACACAGAAUUCCAUCUUGGCAAGUAAGAGGAAGCCAGACCAAAACUGCUUUGACAGGUCAAAUGAGAGGGCCAGAGCAAACUACGAAGAUGGCAGGAGCCACAUGUCCGUUAACACCUUCAAUCACAGUCGGACUGAGGACCACCGCUGCAGAGAAGCAAAAGAAGGGCAAGCAGAGUAACACUUGAUUUUUCUUACAUGAUGUGAGUGCCUCACUUAAUCUCACUUAAACAAAUUUAAAACUUUUGGCUAUUGAAAAACAGACUGUUAAAAUUCAUCUCAGCAGUAAUGAGGCCACUAAAACUAAUAUUGAAUCAGUGUGUAAUGUCACUAACAUUGUCAGACUCUAUAGGUUUCCCUGGUCCCUUUCUCAAUCUUGUAUUUCAGUGAUUCUACCACUGCACAUCAUUAAUGUCUUUCUUCUCUUUCCACUAGUUAUUUCUCAUCUCUAUACUCUCCUUUCUCUAUGCUUUCACUUGAUUGUCAGGGAUUUCUCCACCUUAUGGAGGGUUUUCAGCUUACAGUAUAAAGUUCCUUCAGGCGAGUUUUGUUGUGAAUUGGCAUCACAGAAAAAUUGAAAUGAUCAGUUUCAUUUCUUGAAAUAAAAAUAAAGUUGUCUACAUUAAAAAGCAAACAGUGUCCCUGUUAUUGUAAUAGUCAUCUAAAUAAGUUAGAAAUGAUAACAGCCAGACAACCAAGUAAUAUGCAUUAUAUAUGGUUAAAAUACAUUAAAUGCAGUAAGUAUACUUGUUUCAUAUAAAUAUAGUCUAUAUUGGUGGAUUUUUUGCUGCCGUCACUUCCAAAACUUUCCCCUCUCGCUAAAUAACCAAAUCCCACGUGUUGCCAAAUCAUUUUGUUUUUAUUGGUCGACAUGAUUCACUUUUACACCAAUAGGAAAGCCGUGGCAUUUUUUUAAAAAUUCGCUUUUCUUUUUUGUGCUGUCCUUGGAAAACACUAUUUUUACAGUUUCUUCUGCGCUAAACAUGACAAUAGUAUUCAGAAAAAAGCAUUGUGUAUAUAUUU